GACGAACGCUGGCGGCGUGCCUAAUACAUGCAAGUAGGACGCAGUUGCGAACGGGUGAGUAACGCGUAGGUAACUACCUAUUAGAGGGGGAUAACUAUUGGAAACGAUAGCUAAUACCGCAUACUAGUAGAUGGACCUGCGUUGUAUUAGCUAGUAGGUAGGGUAAUGGCCUACCUAGGCAACGAUACAUAGCCGACCUGAGAGGGAGAUCGGACAAACUGUGACUGAGACACAGCCCAGACACCUAAGGGAGGAAGCAGUAGGGAAUCUUCGGCAAUGGGGGGAUCCCUGACCAAGCACCGUCGCGUGAGUGAGGAAGGUUUUCGGAUCGUAAAGCGCUGUUGUUAAGGAAGCGGUACUUAACCAGAAAGGGACGGCUAACUACGUGCCAGCCGCCGCGGUAAUAC
rnacentral:rRNA from 1 species